GCAAACUUGGUCAUUUAGAGGAAGUAAAAGUCGUAACAAGGUUUCCGUAGGUGAACCUGCGGAAGGAUCAUUAAAAAGUUGUUCGAAGCGGUCUCAGGCACUGCCAGGUGACCGCUUAGACAUCAACACCCUCUGUAUAUCUACCGCGUUGCUUUGGCGGGACGGCAGCCAGCAGCCCUGCUGGGAAGCUGUCCGUGGGACCUCUUAAGGCCCCGCGAGCGCCCGUCAGAGAACUGUCAAACUCAUGUUAAACCGUGAUGUCUGAGCUUUACAAGCAAUAAGUUAAAACUUUCAACAACGGAUCUCUUGGUUCUCGCAUCGAUGAAGAACGCAGC
rnacentral:misc_RNA from 1 species